rnacentral:tRNA from 2 species
GGAUGUAGUUCAGUUGGUUAGAGCGUCAGAUUGUGGUUCUGAAUGUCGUGGGUUCGAGUCCCACCUUC